AGAGUUUGAUCCUGGCUCAGGACGAACGCUGGCGGCGUGCUUAACACAUGCAAGUCGAACGAUGAAGUGGAGCUUGCUCCACGGAUUAGUGGCGAACGGGUGAGGAACACGUGAGAAACCUGCCUCGGAUUUUGGGAUAACAAAUGGAAACGUUUGCUAAUACCAAAUAACGUCGGAGAGUCACAUGACUUUCUGACGAAAGGAAUUCCGAUUCGAGAGGGUCUCGCGGCCUAUCAGCUAGUUGGCGGGGUAAUGGCCCACCAAGGCAACGACGGGUAGCUGGUCUGAGAGGAUGGUCAGCCACACUGGGACUGAGACACGGCCCAGACUCCUACGGGAGGCAGCAGUGGGGAAUCUUGCGCAAUGGGCGAAAGCCUGACGCAGCAACGCCGCGUGCGGGAAGAAGGCUUUCGGGCUGUAAACCGCUUUCAGCAGGAACGAAAAUGACGGUACCUGCAGAAGAAGGAGCGGCCAACUAUGUGCCAGCAGCCGCGGUGAUACAUAGGCUUCAAGCGUUGUCCGGAUUUAUUGGGCGUAAAGAGUUCGUAGGCGGCUGAGUAAGUCGGGUGUGAAAAUUCUGGGCUUAACCCAGAGACGCCACCCGAUACUGCUUAACUUGAGUUCGAUAGGGGAGUGGGGAAUUCCUAGUGUAGCGGUGAAAUGCGCAGAUAUUAGGAGGAACACCGGUGGCGAAGGCGCCACUCUGGAUCGAUACUGACGCUGAGGAACGAAAGCAUGGGUAGCAAACAGGAUUAGAUACCCUGGUAGUCCAUGCCGUAAACGGUGGGCACUAGGUGUGGGAUUCUAUUAACGAAUUCCGCGCCGUCGCUAACGCAUUAAGUGCCCCGCCUGGGGAGUACGGUCGCAAGACUAAAACUCAAGGAAUUGACGGGGGCCCGCACAGCAGCGGAGCGUGU
rnacentral:rRNA from 1 species